rnacentral:tRNA from 1 species
UCCCUAGUAGCUCAGUCAGUAAAGCAUCUGCCUGCAACGCAGGAGACCUCGGUUCAAUCCCUGGAUCUGGAA